rnacentral:lncRNA from 1 species
GUCAGGGCUGAUGGGGGAAGCAAACUCAUCAGGAUGCUGAUGGUGGUGUCAAAUGCAGAAGAUGAGAGAGUAGGGUGAGGAUGAGGGGCAUAGCAGAUCUGCCAGAAGAGGAGUAUUAUUGGAGAGACGGGGUUUCACCAUAUUGGGCAGGCUGGUCUCGAACUCCUGACCUCAAGCGAUCCACCCGCCUUGACCUCUCGAAGUUCUGGGAUUACAACUGUGAACCACUGCACCCGGCCCAUAAGGAUUGUUUUAGAUGGAAAAAUUCUAUAAAGAGAAAAUUCCACCUCCUCUACUGUUAGUGGUGAAGCUCACAUAAGAAAGAGCCAGCUGAGAGUCUGUCAAGGGGAGACCCAAAACCAGAGAAACUCCUUUUCUUCUUUGUCUCAAUCACAUCAUUUUCUAGGGACACCAAUUCAUCAAGAAGCAAGAGUUUUGCUGUCAGUUCCUCCUGCAUUCAUUCUUCCUGCUGCCUUGUGAAGAAGGUGCCUUGCUUCCCCUUUGCCUUCCACCAUGAUUGUAAGUUUAACGAGGACUCCCCAGCCAUGCAGAACUGUUCACAACCUUGAAUGGCAUGUUGGCAAUAAAAAGAAGACAAUAAAAAACUACCGAUUUUCUUGA